AGCAUCUUUUCAUGUGUCUGUUGGCCAUUUGUACGGCCUUCAUUUUUAUGCAGGAAUCAUGCAAGCAGCACUGACAUUGAGUUUAUGGAAGAGUUGCAGAAUGUAUACAAGAUCAGUGCUAAAGUCCAUGUGAUACUAGAGGAAAUCAGUUGGGGACAACAGUUACAAAAUAGGCUGGAUGAAUGAACAAUCUCCAGUGUUAGCUUACCACGCAAAAUCCUCAAGACGGUGUGGACAUAGCCCUACCCUCCAGGAAAAGAGACCUCAAAAACCUUUUAUUGACACCAUGGGAUAUGCCAGUCGACCUUUCAAGUGAUUACAUUAGCUCUAUCUUUUCUAGAGUACAGAAUCCAGGCCAGGAUCACAUGUUACAUUUAGUCAUCAUUGUCUCUCUUGAUACAAGAACAGAUUUCUGAAUUUCCGUGGUCAUUAGUGGCAUUGACAAUUUUGAAGAAUAAAGGUCAGCUACUUUUAGAAUACUCAUCACUUUGGGUUUGUCUGACAGUGUUGCAUCUGGAGAGGACAUCAAUUGGUUUUUGAAUUUCAAAUCAUCACUGCAUUUUGAGAAUAAGUGCAUUUUGGGAAUCCCCGCAUUUGAUGUACUAGUAUAUAUUUAGCAUUUUCGUCUGUAUGUUCAUGAGAAAGACAAGCCUUAAUUUUUCUUUCUUGAAAUAUAUUUGUCAAGUUUUAGUGUUAAGCUUGGCUUGGCUAUAUUAAAUGAG